AUUAAUGCCCCUGUAGCAUAAAAGGUGAGAUGGGAGCCACUGGUUUGGUGCUGUGCUUUUUCAGCAAAGAAACAGCAUCUUUUCCUUCCUGUUCCCCUGGGGAAGACAGCAAAGGUAUCCUGCAUGUGUUAAUUCACCAGGAGCUCUGGUGCAGGACAUGCUCAUGGUACCUGUUCACAACUGUGUAAGGUUGACCUGUGGUGCCAAAGACCCCGUUUCCAGCUGACUGAUGGAUGGAUGUGGAGAAGUUGCCCCUAACUCCUAUACCCACUAUACCAGAGGCUUUGUCCCUUGCUGUGCCUGCUUGCGAGGCAGUGGAAAGGCCUUGGGCAUCCCAAGGCAGGAUGGAGAAUCAAAGAGGGAUCUGCUGGGAGACGGAGCUUCCCUCCUGCCC